GUCUAUGGCCAUGGUACCCUGAACAAGCCCAAUCCUGUCGGAUCUCGGAAGCUGAGCAGGGUCAGGCCUGGUUAGUACUUGGAUGGGAGACCACCUAGAAAGACUAGGUGCUGUAGGCG
rnacentral:rRNA from 1 species